rnacentral:rRNA from 1 species
CCGCCUGGGGAGUACGGCCGCAAGGUUAAAACUCAAAUGAAUUGACGGGGGCCCGCACAAGCGGUGGAGCAUGUGGUUUAAUUCGAUGCAACGCGAAGAACCUUACCUACUCUUGACAUCCAGAGAACUUUCCAGAGAUGGAUUGGUGCCUUCGGGAACUCUGAGACAGGUGCUGCAUGGCUGUCGUCAGCUCGUGUUGUGAAAUGUUGGGUUAAGUCCCGCAACGAGCGCAACCCUUAUCCUUUGUUGCCAGCGGUUAGGCCGGGAACUCAAAGGAGACUGCCAGUGAUAAACUGGAGGAAGGUGGGGAUGACGUCAAGUCAUCAUGGCCCUUACGAGUAGGGCUACACACGUGCUACAAUGGCGCAUACAAAGAGAAGCGACCUCGCGAGAGCAAGCGGACCUCAUAAAGUGCGUCGUAGUCCGGAUUGGAGUCUGCAACUCGACUCCAUGAAGUCGGAAUCGCUAGUAAUCGUAGAUCAGAAUGCUACGGUGAAUACGUUCCCGGGCCUUGUACACACCGCCCGUCACACCAUGGGAGUGGGUUGCAAAAGAAGUAGGUAGCUUAACCUUCGGGAGGGCGCUUACCACUUUGUGAUUCAUGACUGGGGUGAAGUC